UGUGUGCUCGGCUGACUGCACGUCCAGCCUCGGGCCAGCUCGAGACGGCCACAUUGCCUGGUUGAAGAUGGCUGAGCGUAAAACAGAAUGCAAGUCAGCUGGAGCACGUACUACUGGAGGCAGAGCCCCAUGAGAAGGGGCCAAGAACCCGCACCCAUCAAAAUCAAGAAGAAAGGCUGAACCCGGAGAGAAAAGGGAGCAACUGAUGUUGCCAUGCAGAUCCCUUGGUUGCUAUGAGAUGGUAACAUCACUCUGCCCCACCAUUGGCCAGUGCCUCCUCAGCUGCGGUGCCUCCCAGGCUGUGUGGUUCUCACGCGGGCCACUGACACAGAGCUGUUACUAUGGUGAACUUUACAAUUUCCUUUGAUUGGUGGAUUUCAGAAAUAGGCCAUCAGCGGAAUUCAUUAUAUUCAGCUAAGUAAAAAUGAAAAAUAAAUACUAUAACUUUCCCCUCAUCACUAACAUGAAGGAAACGUGACCCUUCAUGACAUAAUAAAUCGCUGUUCGGUAACUUAGGAUCCUUCAGGGGACUGAAGCGGGAUGAUCCUCCUAUGCCAAAUUUGGGUGGGAAAGAUAUUCCCUGUAGCUUUGAGUCGACUCUUCAGAGUUAAGGGCAGUGGGCCAACCAGAGUUGGAACUUCAGAGUUGGGAGGAGGUGUGGGAUGGGGCAUGCAUUGAAAUGUAAACUCUAUUGUCUCUGAAGUGAUGGGUGAUGCUGGGGGCCUGAGUGUGGAGGGCAGUUUUACAUCUCAGGACAAUGUUUUCUCAGAUGCUCUUCCAGAAAGAAAAGCCAGGAGUACUCCUGGCUGGAGGCGGCAUGCCUGAGGUCAGAGUCAAAGUAGGGUUUGUGCUGUCUGAAUCCUUUCUCCCACUCUCCCCAGCCUGGCUCAGCUUCUCAGCUUCUCAGGUGGAUUGGUGAGUCCUGGCCAAUUACGCUUCAGCUCAUCUCUACUCUCAGCAAAUAGGAAAAGGGAGUGAAGGACUGAGUUUUAACUCUUCUAAUUUCGUAACCUGACUCUCUAUAAGAAAAAGUAGGAGAAAGACUGAAGAACCCGAGAGAACAGGCCUCUGAGCCCAAGCCAAGCCAUCGCAUCCCCUGUGACUUGCCCGUAUAUAUGCCCAGAUGGCCUGAAGUAACUGAAGAAUCACAAAAGAAGUGAAUAUGCCUUGCCCCACCUUGACUGAUGACAUUCCACCACAAAAGAAGUGUAAAUGGCCGGUCCUUGCCUUAACUGAUGACAUUACCUUGUGAAAGUCCUUUUCCUGGCUCAUCCUGGCUCAAAAAGCACCCCCACUGAGCAUCUUGCGACUCCCACUCCUGCCCACUGAGCACCUUGUGACCCCCACUCCUGCCUGCCAGAGAACAAACCCCCUUUGACUGUAAUUUUCCUUUACCUACCCAAAUCCUAUAAAACGGCUCCACCCUUAUCUCCUUUUGCUGACUCUCUUUUCUGACUCAGCCCGCCUGCACCCAGGAGAUUAAAAGCUUUAUUGCUCACACAAA
rnacentral:lncRNA from 1 species